rnacentral:siRNA from 1 species
UGGAUCACUUUCUGCUUGAG